AUGAAUUUUACCUUUUUUUUUUUUUCUUGUAACACGCAGAUGCCCAAUAUCCGGGAGUUGAGGAAGAAAGGGUCUAAAAAGGUCAAAUGGACGCUGGACGCCAUGGUUCGUGCCGUCCAGGAGGUGAAGGAAGGCAGGCAAACCGCAAGAAAGGCCGCCAGGAAGUUUGGCGUCCCAAAGUCCAGCCUGGCGGACCGACUCUCUGGACGCGUAGCCGUCGACUGCGUGCACGGCCAAAAACCGCUUCUCACCUCUGAGGACGAGAGUUCACUGUUGGAGUAUUGUUUGUACUCUGCCAGUCAGGGAUGUCCUCAGAGAAAGCAUCAGGUCAUAACCAACGCUCUGGCAAUUUAUAAUUAUCGUAAUCCGCACCAACCCAGGACCGUUCUAGGCCAAACCUGGUGGAUUAACUUUAUGGAGCGGCACCGGCAUCGCAUUACCUCCCAGAAUAUGCGCUCCUACCUUUUGGAAUCUCAUACGAAAUCACACUCAAAAAGGGGUUCGGUCAAGUUCCAACCGCCCGAGAGUCUGCCUCCCUCCUCCGAUCCCUACCUGGCCCAUCCCCUGGUAGCGUCGGGCCUCGUGACAGCGGAACUGGCCCGCGUCUUGUCCAAAACCAACGAAACCUGCGACGCCCAAAGUGACAGGAGAAGCUUCCAGGUGCUGACAGCGAGGGAGAUGUCAGAUGUCCUGCAGAAGGUGGAGGACAGCGCCGCAAGAGCGGAGGCCAGAAGUGCGACGCGACGGGGAGCGGAAGACACGGACCUGGCGGUCUCCUCCUCCACCUUUCCCGGGGGCUCUUGUCUCGGCGGCAAAAGACCACGGCCCCGCAAGGUCCGUUCAGAUGCUACAAGUCCUGGUGCCGCGGGUCCUCCAGGCCCGUGUGAUCCCACUUCUGCAUCCCAACGCGCCUCAACCAACAUGAGCUUGUCUUCCAAUAAAAUUGACGACGCUUCCAACCUUUGGGGGACCUCCUUCAUGGCUGUAGCUCCCUCGUCUCCUGCCUCCCUUUCCUCAACUGCUGAACCUACAACCUCCACCGUAGCCUACCAAGCUGCUAAGAAGGAACGGUUGGAAAAGAAGCUGUUGCGAUGUGGACGGUGCAGACAGCCUUACCCUCCAAAGGAUCCAGAAGGAACAGCGCGCAGCGGGGUGGACCCUCCUCAUCCAGUGCAUCCAGUGGAAGUCGGAAAAAAAGUAUUUAUUCAUCUGGUUCCCGGUAGCAGCCAUAGCUCCAGGUGUCGACGGACGCUGAAGUCGCGGCCCCUUCGUGGACUGAACACCUCCAGUUAUCAGCAAAGACGAAGCUCCACAACCGCCGCGCGUGCGGUGUGCACACUGCACGCUGCACGCUGCACGCAGGAGUCCGCUGCAAGGUUGCAUCUGCAAGUCGUGCGAGUGGAGGAUUGUGUGUGCGUCUCCUUUCCUGCCUGUGAGGGUGCAUGUGUGUCACCAUGAAGCAUCAGUCUAUCUCUCGAUGGCUGAGCCAGCUGGGAUUGCCAGAAUACUGCCCAGCGCUGGAGCAGGAAUAUGACGGUGUGGAG
ensembl:lncRNA